AAUAGGGGGUCAUUGAUGUGACACGAAUUAAUCUGGUAGAUGCAACAGGAUUGUUUUACAUUCCGUUUGCAAACAUGUUUUAAUUUAGUAGAUUUGAAGAGUUAAUUUUGAAUGUUGGAUGUAUUCAUUUUUCUCACGUUAAUUGGAAGUGAAAAUUUCACGUUCAGAUAUACUCCAGAGCAGCAGGUGGCUGUAAUGCCUAGUUAAAACAACCAGCGGUAGAAGAAGAAGCGUUUGAAUCGUGGUCACACUGGAUAUCGUUGGCCAAAAACUAAUCGCUGCUGGUGACUGUAUGUCAUGAAAACUGAGGCUCGAGUUAAUCUACUGAAAGGUAAGUUUAUCAACCUUAUGAUCAUGUUAUAUUAGGCAGCAUAUCUCCUAGCAGUUUUCUUGCAGUAUAAAAUCGUUGCAUUGUGAAGCCUUGAUGUCUUUUUCCGCGGCUUUUUUUAGUUAGUCUAACCAGAGCCCGUCUACGGAACCUAGCUGCUACCAUGAAACCAGCACUAGCUAGAAAUGUGCUGCAACCGUUGGCUGGUUGGGAAAUUAAUAAAUAAAGCUUAGAGCUAAAUAUUGUCCAUUAGUUGGAUAAUGUACUUUGGAAUUUCGUGGAGAAUAUGAAUGUUAGGGUAGGUUGCAUGAAGAAUAUUAAAAAGGUGUAUGUUAAUGAAAGCUGUGCGCCACGUGUGUUGCUAGCAAACUGCAAGGAAAACCUUUUACUGCUAGUGCUAGCAUAGCCACGUGGACAUAUAGUUCCAGAAAGUUUGUACCCACACUAUGAACAUAAGUAUUUUGAUUUGUUUGUGCCGCAAAAUAAUAAUAAAAAAAACGUGCUCAAAAGAUUUCUUAAAGAAAUCAAACUUGAAUAUGUUUAGUGACCUUAGUUCACUCUAGCCCUCCAUCAAUGUCCAAAUGACUCCAAAAUAGUUGGAAUCAUUUGUGCAUGUUUGUGCAGUCAACAUAAGCAUUUUAGGAGCUUAAAUUCUUACAUUAUAUACCGGUACUCUCUUUUUCCAUAGUGAUCCUCACACCCAAAAUCAUUUGUUUGCAUGCAUUCAUUGAUUAUAGCUUUCCUUGUGCCAUAAACAAAAUAUUUAGGCAUGUUUUGAUUUGUGCAUUUGUUUUGUGACAUGUUGAUUUGUGUGCUUAUGAAUAGAGUUGAUGUAAUUGUUUUUUCUCUUCCAUAGGUCCAUGUUAUUGCACGCACUUCCAAUUGGUUAGGUGGUGGAAAUCUGGAGCUGUAAGGGAUGCAAAGAAACAGUAUCAAAUCAACGCAGAAUUCAAAAGAAUUACGACGGUCCCACUUCAAUCCAAGUUCCUGUCUCAGAUAGACCUUCACUCUGACAACCUGACAAAGCUGUUCCAAAAGAGAGGGGGACAAAUAGGGAAAGGUCUCCAGUCAUGUUCUCAAUGAUUGCUUGAUUGUGAUAUAGAUGCUGGCCGGGAGUGUCUCCUGAAGGGACUUUGUAUGUACAUGGGGGAAGAUCCUGAAAACCUUGUGCAGGAAUAUGUGGGCAUGGAUGAAGUUGAUGUCAGUGAAUCCAUUGAAGACGCUACUGUCGGGAUUUACGUUCGGAGAGAACAUGAAUCAAGUGAACCGGAGGACAUUUGUUUCUUUUUUUGAUGUGCAAAGGACUUCAACACAUCUCACUUUUUGGUCUCUUGUUCAUCUCUCACUCUCUCUUUUUCUCUGUCACACCAACACACACAUACUAACAAACACACGCACCUCACACCCAUCCACAUAACUCCAGUGACAAACUCCAGUGUAAUUUUUGCCACCAUGUUUGGCUCGCAGCAUAGACCACCAUUGUCUUCCUCUCUCUAUCCCCUUCUCUUCCUCUCUUUCUCUUCCCUUCUCACUCUCCCUCCCUCCCUCUCUCACUCCUCUCUCUUUCUGUGUAGGAUGUCUACUGUACUGUAAAGUGUUGGAUGAAAGCAUUGUGUACUCAUGUAGCGUUCAAUAAAAAAAUGAAAAGACUGAAA